CCAAGAGUUUGAAACCAUGUCAUAUCUGAAAAUGUCAUUAUUGUCGAGCAUAAAAACACCAGGCCCGUCCCCAUCAUAAUCCUCAACAACCACAAUCUUCCCAAGCCUUGCUCUCUCCCCUUCCCGCCACAUAUCCCCAACGUCCCUCCACUUGCCACACCCAUUCUUCUUCACAUCCAUGACUACAGCAUCCUUAUAAUAUUCAUCCAUUGGAAACAUCAUAGAAAUUGUCCUGGACUCUCCGUAGCCUCCCAUCACCCAAAACUCCCUCUCCUCUCCACUCCCUACCAAAAACCCCACGCAACCUGCUCUAUACCUGGGCAACCCGUCCAUUGCUACCCACUCAUCCCUCCCAACAUCAUACCUUUCCACAGAACUCAUCCUACUUCCAGCUGCCCCAAAUAAGGUAUGUCUCGACCCUCCACCAGCCACGAUUAUCUGUCCCAAAUUAGGGAUUGCAGCGCAAGCAAAUGAACCACGAGGGGAGAGCAUCGGAGCGAGUUGGUCCCACGAGGAAUCGACGAAAUUGAAACGGAAGGCGGAGGAGGAAGGCAAUGGGCGAUCCAUAGGGAAAGAGCGGGUGUCGAAGAGAGACCCACCAAGAACAUAGAGAUUAGGGCCGAGAGAUAUGGAGGUAAAGUUGCAGAGUCCGUACACGUGAGGAUUACAGGGCAUAGGUGGUAGCGGUCGCCAUGCGAGAUUUUGCGGAUCAAAAAGGUAAGGGGAGGAGAUGGAAGGGUCCUGAGGGAAUAUACAUAGGAGAUGAGUGUGAUGACAGAGGUGAUGGCGGAGGGUAAUUAGGGUUUUGGAGGAGAGGAAGGCGUGCCAUGCCUUGCAGGUGCAUUUGAUACGAGAAUGGCGAGAGUAAGGGACCAUGGAGAGUAUUUGCGCUGCGAUGUCGUUUGGGAGGCCAGGAAUUAGAGUCAGACACUCGCAGAUUGACAGCAAUGGCGGAGACGCCGAAGAUGAAGAGGACGACGACGACGGAAAUUGGGCCAUUCAAUUAUUCUCCUUCAAUUUAGAUAAAAUCAGAAUCAAUCAAAUCGAGCGAGGCACAGAUAUCUACCUCCCAGCCUCCCAAUCUGAAUCUCUACGUUCUAUACACCAGCUCUGCAAGAAUUGACCAAUUCGACUGAUAAAAUCACUCCUUACGUGAAAGAGUAGAAGAAGAAGAAUUAAACUAAGCUAUGUAAAAUUCUUCAUGUAUAAAACAAAACCACUGGUGUGUCUCUCUCUGUCUGGCUCUCUUUCUCGACAUGGAAACCAUCAUUUGAAAAUCAGUAGUGUCCCCAUAGAGAAGAGAACAGAAGAUAGCUUGGAUGGCUUUGCCGAUGCUUAUCAGAUAACCAUAGUCCCACUUUCCCGAGAUGAGGGAUAGUAAGGGCGCUUGGGCGUUUUCUGGCUUUUCUCGUGUCUGAGCCGUCUACGGGUAAUGAAAACUUGAAAGGCCGUUGUUAACGUGGUUCGGUUUUUGUCUUCACCUGUGAACCGAAAGGCAAGGGGAGUGCACUGUGAAGGGAACUGGUGGGUGAUGCAUGGAGACCAUGGGAGAUUGUUGCUAUGUGUCAAAUCCUUAUUGGUGUUUUGCUUUGAGC
rnacentral:misc_RNA from 1 species